rnacentral:rRNA from 1 species
CACGUAGGGGGCGAGCGUUGUCCGGAUUUAUUGGGCGUAAAGAGCUCGUAGGCGGUUCGGUAAGUCGGGUGUGAAACCUCCAGGCUCAACCUGGAGUCGCCACUCGAUACUGCUGUGACUAGAGUCCGGUAGGGGAGCGUGAAAUUCCUGGUGUAGCGGUGAAAUGCGCAGAUAUCAGGAGGAACACCAGCGGCGAAGGCGGCGCUCUGGGCCGGAACUGACGCUGAGGAGCGAAAGCGUGGGUAGCAAACAGG